rnacentral:rRNA from 1 species
UACAGAGACUGCAAGCGUUAUUCGGAUUCACUGGGCGUAAAGGGUGCGCAGGCGGCCAAGUGUGUGAGGCGUGAAAGCCCGAUGCUUAACAUCGGAAUUGCACCUCAAACUACAUGGCUAGAGCAUUGGAGAGGGUAGCGGAAUUCACGGUGUAGCAGUGAAAUGCGUAGAUAUCUGAAGGAACAUCAGUGGCGAAAGCGACUUCCUGGACCAAUACUGACGCUCAUGUGCGAAAGCGUGGGGAGCAAACAGG